UAUUCUGCCCCACGGGGAAGGAUGAGAAGCUUCGACUAAGGUUCGACUCGAGCGAAGCGAGAGAACGUUGCCGCAGGCAACGGCCCGAAGGCGAGGCGCUUUAGCGCCGAGUAAUUCUUCCCCCACCACUG
rnacentral:sRNA from 1 species